rnacentral:RNase_P_RNA from 1 species
AGAGUCGCCCGGGUCACCGCGUUGUAGCAAUACACCGAGGAAAGUCCGGACUCCAAUGAGCAGGACGGUGGGUAACUCCCACCCGGAGCAAUCCGCGGGAAAGUGCAACAGAAAGUAAACCGCCGACAGCAAUGUCGGUAAGGGUGAAACGGUGGUGUAAGAGACCACCAGUGCGUGUAGCGAUAUGCGUAGCUAGGUAAACCCCGUCCGGAGCAAGACCACGCAGAUAGCGUUUGAACGGCUCAAGUGAGCUAUCGGGUAGGUUGCAUGAAUCUGUGAGUAAUCGCAGAUCUAGAUGGAUGGUGAUCUCGCUAGCAAUAGCAAGACAGAAUCCGGCUUAUAGGGCGACUCUUCUU